AGUUUGAUCAUGGCUCAGAUUGAACGCUGGCGGCAGGCCUAACACAUGCAAGUCGGACGGCAGCACGGGCUUCGGCCUGGUGGCGAGUGGCGGACGGGUGAGUAGCGCUUGGGAAUCUGCCUGGCAUUGGGGGAUAACUCGGGGAAACUCGAGCUAAUACCGCAUACGCCCUGAGGGGGAAAGCAGGGGACCUGCUUGCAGGCCUUGCGAUGCUGGAUGAGCCCAAGCCGGAUUAGCUGGUUGGUGGGGUAAAGGCCUACCAAGGCGACGAUCCGUAGCUGGUCUGAGAGGAUGAUCAGCCACACUGGGACUGAGACACGGCCCAGACUCCUACGGGAGGCAGCAGUGGGGAAUAUUGGACAAUGGGGGCAACCCUGAUCCAGCCAUGCCGCGUGUGUGAAGAAGGUCUUAGGAUUGUAAAGCACUUUAAGUCAGGAGGAAGUGCCGCUGGCGAAUACUUGGCGACAUUGACGUUACUGACAGAAUAANCACCGGCUAACUUCGUGCCAGCAGCCGCGGUAAUACNAAGGGUGCGAGCGUUAAUCGGAAUUACUGG
rnacentral:rRNA from 1 species